ACUAUUCGUUAGGUGACUGUAAAGUAGCUGCUUUGGCAGUCUACAGUCAUCUAUGCGGGUAACAUGGCCAGUCCAACAUAGUUGGACACACACACACACAUAAUACAUAACAGUUAGUGAUGAAAGGACUGCUGUUAUAUUUUCAAGGACUCCCUGACUGUGAUAAAAGUGAAGAGAUAUGGUACUGUACAGCCAUACUAAAGAAAUGACAGAUUGGUGAAGAUGAUUUUUGAGUAUAAAAGUGUUCUUAAAGGCAGCAGGGGACGACGAGUGAAAUAAAUUUCCGUCAUUUUUGCCUAAAUAACGACUAAAAACAAUUACAUCCUGAAAAUGUCCUUCGUUAAAUUAAAUAAUAAGCUCUUCAAAAACAAUUUGAUGUGUGAAGUAAAAAUUAAGUCGUCUAGAUGAGGGAAAUACAAUCUUUUUUCAGCUGUUGACCAUUUUAUGAAGCUUGAUGAUGUAUGUUAGGGAACAAUCACAGCAGAUGGGGAUUGUUAAUCAUUCUUAGUUUUACUUAAUUUUAAAUGGUCUUUGGUGGGCUACAGAAAAUAAACCUGGGACCAGAUGCAACCUUUGGGGUAAGAGUUACACAACGACACUCUUGAUUAUGUCAUCCUAAGUAUUUUUAAUUGUUUUAAUAUACCAUCGAGAUUGUGACAGUGACGUGUGAUGUACAGUCACGCAUAAAACUAUCUCUAAUAUGGGGGGGUUGUGGGUUGUGUCGAUGAAUUCCAGAAUGAACACUGUGACUCCUGUUGUCUCCGUAGGGUUGUCAAAAUUCUUCAUCCAUUGUGUCAUAUUUUUUCAACACAAUUUUGUAUAGAUAGUUUUUUGAGUGACUGGUACACCAAUACAGGUACAGGGUAAAAUGUACACUGGUACACUAUAGCAGGACACAGUAUAGUACAUCAUUACAGAACAUGAUGUACACACCGGUACACUACAUCAUUACAGGACGUGAUCUACACUGAUGCACCAAUACAAGAUAAAAUAUACACUGUAGUACAUCAUAACACACUAUGUACACAGGUCGUGGAAGGAGAAGGGAACAACUCACAUCAUUCAACACUCAGGUUCUCAAAGAGUACAAACAAGUGUAUAGUUCAAUACUGUAUAUGUGUCAAUGGUUCACAGUGACAAGUGUUACAUUAUGCACCACAACUCUUACUCGUUCAUUACAAUUAUUUCUUAGCUCUUUAAGUAUACAAUAUAUUUUACCUGUCCGGGGAGGAAGUGUGGUACGCAGGUUCUUUUACUUGUUGAAUAUGUUUGUUUACAAGUUUAUAUGUGUGUAUUUUGUUUUCAUUCAUUUUAGAUAUUGUUAAUAUUUUAAAACACUCGUUUACAUUAGGGAGAGAGAUCCGUCUCUUUGACGUGUUGAUGUUAUGGUGGAAUUAUAAAAACCAGAAGCAAAAGAAACAUAAGUAAUGAAACAAUUUUUCAAAAGCUAGUAUAUUUUGUUUUUAUUUGAAAAAGGUGCAACUUGAGCUAAAUUAAGACUAAAGGGAAAUAUUAAUGUAAAAGUGACCCCUGCCCUAUUUCCUUGAGCAAAUCAUGGGAUAGUGUGCUCAUCCAGAUAACUGCUGCAAUAAACUAAUAUGUCCAGGGAACUUGUGCAAUGGUUUGAUCAUAAUUACCUGAUAUCACUUUAGGUGGGAUAUACUGCACGCCGUUCAAGUACCCAUCUGAAAAUGACAAAAUUCAGACGUGUUUCAAAAAUAACAUUCUCUGACGAUGGGAAAAUACAGGUUAGAUAUGAAACUCAAAAUACUACAAUGUUGUGGCUUGUGUUGGACUGAGAUAACAGUAUACUAUUGCUCUGAGCCCCUGACAUGGUGGAGGUGUGGCGAUGAGUCCGUGUGAUUCCUUAUUCAAGAUCUUACCAAAGUAUGAGGUCGGUCCCUGUUAUGUGGUACUGUACGAGGGCCAAAUUUAUAUAAAGGCAAACUACGCUUAUGUGAGCUUCAUGGUGGUAAUCAAGUCUGCUGGUAGGUGAGUCUCUUGAGUGAUUCCAGUUCACUGUCAUCUGUCAAUAUUUUUAGCUACAUAUCCAAAGUUGUGUAAUCAUAAUAAAUAAUAAUUUGUCAAGUGUAAUAGGAAAAAAAACCCAGUUAAGAACACUUAUUAUUUUAGAUACUAACAGUCUUUUGUACUUAAAACUGCUUCUGUCUUGGUACAUUGUGUUUGUGCUGACUCUCUCUGGCACCCUAACUGCACCUCCUCCAAACUGUAAAAGCAUAAUAUGACCGCUAAAUUGUAAUGAUUUGUAGAUUAUAAUUUGUGCUUUUAGAAAAAAAUAAUAAUUUGGUGGUGUAUGACAUUUUAACUUCUUUUUUUUAUUACAGUAUUAAGAUUUUUAAAUGGUGCAUCAUGUGUCAGUGGGUCAACAACACUUGAUGGCAAUGGAUUCCACAAGUUAGAGAAAGACAUCAGGAAAGAACCGAGAUGUUGGAAGAUGUAAACCGUGGUGGUGGUGGUGGUUGUUUCUUGUUUAUGAAAUGGUCUGUCUUAUAGAGGCCACAAUAGGCUUCUUUUUUAUAUGAGCUUCCCACUUGUCUUCUACAGACCGCUAUCCAUGUCGAACCAUUUCCUACUCUACGUCUCACUGAGGUAAUUCUGUGGUCCUGGAUUUCAUGCAUUUACACAUCAUAUUAAAACUGCAAAAUGUUUAAGGCAUUGUAGCUAGACUUUAAUGUUCCAGUUGUUGGCUAUAAAUCUAUAGUCAAAAAGGCUUGGUUUUAGUUAUAUAGUCAGUAAUGAAGCAAUACUUUUAUAUACUACAGUAAAUAAGAUUAAAUUCAAUUUUUUUUUGUUUCUUCAUAUUAAUAUCUACAAUGUCCGAGUCCUUCCUCCCCGUCAACACUCUCGUCUCCUCACUCGCUAAAACAGGGUACUGUACCGAACACCACUGCCUCUUUUUGAAAGCCCAGGAGAGGCAUUGGGUCUGCAACACUUAAGUGACCUUUACUUUUCAUUGCUCUUGGACCCCUUGUUCUCAAUUACUGAGUGUAAUCAAACAAAUUUAUAUUUUCCAUUAUCCAGAGACAGGCUGGCUAGGAUAAACGAUUGUCUUCUCCAUAGGUUUGUAUUAUUUCAACAAUGUUUAGGUCUGAUUUAAGAUGUUGAAAUGUGUGUUAUCAUAGACAAAUGUAUUUAUAAAUUUGAAAAUUUUUUUACACUUAAAAUAUAAGGAAUUCUAAUUGAUUAUUUGUGGUGACUGAUCUAGAGAGGCAACAGCAUACAACAAAUGAAUACUUUUUUUAAACUUGUUAAUAAAUUUAUCAAAGUUUUAUAUUGUUUGACCAAUAAAUGAAUAGGGCAAUGUGUGUGUUUUACCUGAGGAUAAUAGCUGUGUAAUACUAAAACUAGACUUCAAGGAGCAUGUGUACAGUAAUGUAUUGUAAAUGUUGUAAAUUAUUAAGGUGUUCAUAAUUAGCAUUUAAAACAUAUUGUUGUUAACUCUUUUUAUUUAAUUUUUUUCUUGUUGCUGUGAUUAUUGGGCUUGAGGAGUAGGUCAUGGUCGAGUAGUAGGUCAUGGUCGAGGAGUAGGUCAUGGUCGAGGAGUAGGUCAUGGUCGAGGAGUAGGUCAUGGUCGAGGAGUAGGUCAUGGUCGAGGAGGUCAUGGUCGAGGAGUAGGUCAUGGUCGAGGAGUAGGUCAUGGUUGAGGAGUAGGUCAUGGUCGAGGAGUAGGUCAUGGUCACAACUGCUUGUACUGUGAAGAAAUAUAAUGUGUCUAUCAGGGUUCUCACUAUAAGAGUCUGGGGGGGUGAAGGAAGCAGUGUAGAGGCUUAAAAAUCCUGUAAAUUAUUCAACAAUUAGGACAAACUACAGUUCCUAAAUAAUGUAUUAAUACAGGUUUAAUUCUGAGACUGAAUAAGAUUUAGGGGUUAAGAAUACUACAAGAUGUGAAGGAUAAUCUGGGUUUAGGAACAAUGUGAACCAGCCCAAACGUCCAUUCAAGAAGUCAGAGUGUUGUUGCGACCCUAGUCCAGCCUGACACACUCCCUGACAUACGGCCCGGUUCAGGUAGCCUCUCUCAGGGGGGGAUGAAGUGGGUGGUAGGUAGAGUGUUAAGGGACAGCUGUACUUUGCUUAGGAUUCACAGCUGUAAAAUAUCAACGCCACCUACAUUAAAGCUUCUCUCUCCAGCUCUGGGUUAUAAUAGAGACCCUGUACAGUAUGUUAUUUAGAUUCAAAGCAAGAGUCAAGAUGCUGUUUUUUCUAGAGAUUAUAAACAUAAAUUGAGAACUUGGAGAUUUUCAAAGUACAGUAUUAAAUUCUUUGUGAAAUAUUUAAAAAUAUCAAUCUUAUAAACAAAUAGUUGAAAAUAAUCUUGUUAGAAAAAAGCUUUUGCUUAUAUAACACAAAAUUGGUUUAUAUAAAUUGUAGGGAAGAAAAUGCAUCCAAUAUCUCUUUUAAUAAGAUCACAAAUACCAGAGGUUAACAUAUGGAUAUUUAAGGCUUUUGUAGAGAAAUACUGUCUGUCUAAUACUGAAAAAUGUAAAAAAAAAAAAAAAUUCUAUACAUAUUGUUUGAUAAAGCACACAUACUUAACUAGAAUGCAAGUACACUAAUAUGAGCGAGUGUGGUUAUGUCUUGGCAGUGUUUGUAUAUUGAACUAUGAAGAUCUAUCCUCCUGACCCCUCUCCAUCACCACAGAACAGGUCAUAAUCUCUUGUGGAAUCUGUCUCUUGAUAUCAUCUCCAUUCAAGUGCAUAUUAACAAGUUCUUCAUACCAUUACCACCUAUAACCUGUGAUGUGUGUGUGUGUGUGUGUAAGAUACUUGAUGUCUGAGGAACUAUACUGAUAAUAGAUGGAUAUGAACAAGGGUAUUCCACCAUAUUGUUCAAGUGAAGUAUCAAUAGGUGCACAAUGUACUGAUAUUAUGGAAGGUUGUCGCACGUUACCGAUACGAGGUAGUCUCGAGACACACAACAGUGACAGGCUUAGGUUAUAUAAAAAAUGACCAUACAUGUACAGUAAAGGUUUUAUAUUAUGCUAUUAAGAGUGACUGUUAGCUAUGGCUAUAAGGAGUUAGAUGAUAGAAAUGACUGUAUAACUUUUGUAUGUUGGUGCCGUUUUUAACAAAUAUUUGCCUUUAGAUAGAUCACUUUUGUCUCAGUAACCCACAUGGAAACACUUAUCAUACUAAAUAUUUUCAUUCUCACAGUUAUUCAUCGCUUUUUUUUUUUUUCUCCUCACAUUCACACUGCAAUUGACUUGGUGAUUCAACUCUUGCAUCACUUUCAACCUCGACAUAGUUCCUCACACAUACCCAUUAUCUCAUCUGUGUUAUUAUUUUCCUCUCAACUAUCUGCUGACUCGUGUGAACUUCUCCUUCCCCCCCACACACACACACACAUGUUCUCUUCUUCCUCAAAGCAACUCUCCCAUCUUCACAUAUUCUUAUACACUACACGCUAAUGUUACUGUAUCUGCUUCCAUUACAUGAUCUUCGUAUUAUGCUAAAUUUCUCAGUUUAAUUCUGGAGCACUGAUGUUGACUGGUGACUCUCCUUUGUGUGGAAAUAGUUGGUGAUUAUUACUUUGGGAAGUAUCAUUUGCCAAGUGCCAGUGAUAUAAGAUCCACUGGUUGAGAGAGGAGGAACUUUAAAGAUGUGAAAGAAUAAAUAAUUUACCGGGUUGGGUUAAGUGUAGUGAAGAGCUUUUGUACCGUGUGACCGUUCUGGGUCGCUGGGAGAUGGAGACCAACAUACCGGUACUUCCUCCAUAAUGACUGUGUGUGUGGUGAGGUGUAGGGGACCUGGAGACCUAUAGGACACAGUCUAUAAACACAUCACUUGGCUUAUCACGGCCUUAAUUGCGGACCACUUUAUUGGCUUUUACCAGCUGUAGGGUUAAGUGAUAAAGAUGGUGACUAGAAACAUGAAUUAAAAGCCUUCAGUGUGAGGGUUUGAAGAGACCAAGAAAUUGCCAUUGUUUUAUUCUUAUGGAAAGUUAGUGCAGUAAUGUAUACUUUUCAGUGACGGACAGGAAUAAUGCGUAGCCACCCUACGAUAUUUCUUUUAAUCCAAUCGGCAGAAUUUGGAAGGCUAACUAGGGAUUUUUGGGGGGCGGCUAAAUUGGUCAGCUUCAAUGUCAACAAUACGGGGAACAUGAAAAAGAUUAUCAGGAAAGUACUCGCCACUCCCACAGCUCUUUACCCCCAUCAGGCAUUGAGUGAAGUGUAUUUUGGCUGAGUGGGGAAGAGAGGGACCACUGUAAACUGAACACACACGGGCUCUCUGCUGAAGAGGCCACACAACUGGAAAAAAUAGAUGGCUGAGCCUGAAACAUAGACAAUGCUUAACAAUGAGAAGGUUGAAGAUGUACUGGCAUUACUGCCUUAUACAGGGAAUAUAACAAAAACCAACCUUUUGAAGAACGUCUUAAAGGUCAUAAUUAUGUAUUUGUGAGUUGCCUUCUGGUUACACCAUUAACUUAUCAUAUUUUAUUUCAACAAUAUAAUUUUGACAAAUUAGACAUUAAAUCAAGUUAGACCAAAAUUCUAUAAUAUUCCACUAAAGUGGCCGAGUCAUUUAUGUGCAUGGUGAGAAAAGGAUUAAUAGCACUGACA